AUGGAGAGAAUUUCCACCCUUGCUGUAGAUGUGGAAGCAGAAGAACAUUCCUACUUGAGGGAACAGGGAGACUGGAAGUCCAAGAUCAAGGCGCUGGCAGAUUCAGUGUCAGGCCACACCGUGCAGUAUGUGGGAUCUUAGUUCCCCAACCAGGGAUUGAACCCGUGUCCCCUGCAUUGGGAGCGUGGAGUCUUAACCACUGGACCGCCAGGAAAGUUCCUGUCACAAUUUUUGAAAUCAGAAAGUGUCUACUGAGACACAGAAGAGACAGUAACCAGACCCCAGCCCAACCUCAGAUUCUGGGUAGAUUUCCAGUUCCAGCCCACCUAUAUCCUCACAGUAUACCCACACACUCUUUUUUUCC